AAACUGGUCAGUUACAAACUUUGCUGCAGAUCCCUGAAAAACCUGGAUGAGGUUUCCUUCUUGUCUUGUAAAUCCUUGGGAGCUUGACCUUGUAACCAUGUGGCCAUGCUUUCUCUUUUCACAAUGGCAGCCUGGGUUCAGGGUUCCAUUCCCAGCUUAGGGGAUGAAUCCUUUAUCUUCUGUCUGUAUGUAGUCAAGGAAACUUUUCAGCUAUUUACAGCUUUUAACAAUUGAGUAAAGCAUACUCCUGUGAACAAAAUUUGGAACAUAUUUGUUUCUCUCUACCUGAUUUCUCCAGAAUUUGGAAACUAUGUAUAUCACCUUUUGUUGGACUCAAGAGUUAUGAAUGGCCCUCACCAUACUGAUGCUUUCUGACUGAGCUCCUCACUACCCUGAACACAAGAGGGAGGAAUAUCAUCGCCCCUAUUCAGCCUGGAGAAGUUACAAAAGAUGGAUCUUCGUCUCUCUGCAACCCUUAGGGAUUAAUGGUUCUCCUAUAAAAGGGAUGGGGGGAAAAUGUCAGAGGCAUUUGAACAAGAGCAACUCCAUCUUAAAGAGGAGCUGGGUAAAAUAAGGCUGAAACCUACUGGGCUGCAUUCCCAGAUGGUUAAGGCAUUCUAAGUCACAGGAUGAGAUAGGAGGUUGGCACAAAAUACAGGUCAUAAAGACCCUGCUGAUAAAACAGGUGGCAGUAAAGAAGCUGGCCAAAACCCACCAAAACCAAGAUGGCAAUGAGACUGACCUCUGGUCGUCCUCACUGCUACACUCCCACCAGCGCCAUGACAGUUUACAGAUGCCAUGGCAACAUCAGGAAGUUACCCUAUAUGGCCUAGAAAGGGGAGGCAUGAAUAAUCCACCUCUUGUUUAGCAUAUCAUCAAGAAAUAACCAUAAAAAUGGACGACCAGCAGCCCCGGGGACUGCGGUGUGCCUGUGGAGUAGCCAUUCUUUUAUUCCUUUACUUUUUUUUUUUUUUUUGGAGACGAGUCUCGCUCAGUCACCCAGGCUGGAGUGCAGUGGCGCUAUCUUGGCUCACUGCAAGCUCCGCCUCCCGGGUUCACGCCAUUCUCCUGCCUCAGCCUCCCAGCUACAAGGUGCCUGCCACUACGCCCAGCUAAUUUUCUUGUAUUUUUAGUAGAGACGGGGUUUCACCCUGUUAGCCAGGAUGGUCUCGAUCUCCUGACCUCAUGAUCUGCCCGUCUCGGCCUCCCAAAGUGCUGGGAUUACAGGCGUGAGCCACCGCACCUGGCCUAUUCCUUUACUUUCUUAAUAAACUUGCUUUUACUUUGCACUGUGGACUCACCCUGAAUUCUUUCUUGCAUGAGAUCCAAGAACCCUCUCUUGGGGUCUGGAUCAAAACCCCCUUUCCUGUAACAGUUUGCAGGAGAAUGUCUUCAAGGCCAGCAAGAAAAUGCUGCCUCCACUCUGGCUUCCUCUGUCUCU